GACCGCGUAGCUCAGUUGGAAGAGCAUUGGGCUAGUAUUCCAAAGGUUGUAGGUUCGAAUCCCACCGUGUCCG
rnacentral:tRNA from 1 species